UUUUUUUGCAGGUGUGUCAAUUUUAAUUCUGCCCAGUAGGUGGGACUUGGUGACUUUCGCACCGGGGUUGGUUUUUUUCUUUUUUUUUUUGUUAUUUAUUUAUUUCCCCGGGCUGCCUCCCCAGCCUCCCGUUGCAAUCCUCCGGAGCGGCGGGCGGCGGGCGGCCGGGCCAGCAUGUAUCCCCGCCCGCUGCCGCUGCCGCUACCGUAGCGGGAAUCACAGCCUCUCCCAGCCGGCUGCCAGCAUGAUUUCAUCUGCUGGAGGAUUUUUACAUCUGAUCGCUUGAGGUUUUGUUGUUUUUUUGGGUUUUUUUUUGUGGUGGUUGUUUUUUUUUUUCGCUUUUUCUUUUUUUUUUUUCCUCCCUCUGUCUUUGUUUCCCCUUUUCCCCCCCUUCCCCUCCCUCCAUCCCCCCCCCUUUCCUCCUCCUCUUUUUUAGAAGCAGCGAUCGGAGAUGGAUGUCUCUCUUUGCCCUACCAAGUGCACUUUCUGGAGGGUAUUUUUGCUCUGGAGCAUUUGGGGAGACUAUCUGCUUUCGGUGCUGGCUUGCCCUGCUAAUUGUCUUUGCAGCAAGACAGACAUCAAUUGCAAGAAACCGGAUGAUGGGAACCUCUUCCCUCUCUUGGAAGGGCAGGAUUCAGGCAGCAGCAAUGGCAACACGAGCAUCAAUAUCACGGACAUCUCAAGGAACAUCACUUCCAUACACAUAGAGAACUGGAAGAACUUGCAGACGCUGAAUGCGGUUGACAUGGAGCUGUACACGGGACUCCAGAGGCUGACAAUCAGGAACUCAGGACUACGAAACAUCCAGCCGCGCGCCUUUGCCAAGAACCCUCACCUGCGCUACAUAGACCUCUCUGGGAACCGGCUCACCACUCUGUCAUGGCAACUCUUCCAGACCCUGCGACUCUUUGAACUGAGACUAGAGAGGAAUCUUUUUAACUGCAGCUGCGACAUCCGCUGGAUCCAGCUCUGGCAGGAGAAGGGUGAGGCAAACCUGCAGUACCAAGAGCUCUACUGCAUGAACAUGGACGCAGCCAUCAUCCCUUUGCAGGAGAUGAACAUCACCCAGUGCGACCUCCCCGAGAUCAGCGUGAGCCACGUGAACCUGACGGUGAGGGAAGGAGAGAACGCUGUCAUCACCUGCAACGGCUCAGGGUCACCACUGCCCGAUGUCGACUGGACAGUGGCCGAUCUCCACUCCAUCAACACACACCAGACCAACCUCAAUUGGACCAAUGUUCACGCCAUCAAUUUGACCUUGGUGAAUGUCACCAGUGAGGACAAUGGGUUCCUGCUUACCUGCAUUGCCGAGAACGUGGUGGGGAUGAGCAAUGCCAGUGUGCUGCUCACCGUCUACUAUCCCCCUCGCAUCCUAACCCUGGAGGAGCCAGUGCUACACCUGGAGCACUGCAUUGCAUUUGCAGUGCACGGCAACCCAGCUCCCACCCUUCACUGGCUUCACAACGGCCAGGUUCUCCGGGAGACAGAGAUCAUCCACAUGGAGUUUUACCAACAAGGGGAAGUGUCUGAGGGUUGCUUGCUCUUCAACAAACCCACCCACUACAACAAUGGCAACUACACAAUUGUGGCUACCAACCAGCUGGGCUCAGCCAACCAAACCAUCAAAGGACACUUCCUUGAAAAGCCCUUUCCAGAGAGUACGGAUAACUUUGUCUCAAUCGGUGAUUAUGAAGUGAGUCCCACCCCACCAAUCACUGUGACCCACAAACCGGAGGAGGACACUUUUGGGGUUUCCAUAGCGGUUGGGUUGGCAGCUUUUGCUUGUGUCCUCUUGGUCGUCCUCUUUAUCAUGAUCAACAAGUAUGGCCGGCGGUCCAAGUUUGGGAUGAAAGGUCCUGUGGCAGUGAUCAGCGGAGAGGAGGAUUCAGCCAGUCCCCUCCACCACAUCAACCAUGGCAUCACGACGCCCUCGUCCCUGGAUGCUGGCCCGGACACGGUGGUGAUCGGCAUGACCCGCAUUCCUGUCAUCGAGAAUCCCCAGUACUUCCGACAAGGUCACAACUGCCACAAGCCAGACACGUGUUUCAGAGAAAUUAUGUUGAAUCCAAUAAGCCUCCCUGGACAUUCCAAACCUCUUAACCAAGGCAUUUAUGUUGAGGAUGUCAGUGUUUAUUUCAGCAAAGGACGUCAUGGCUUUUAAAAACUCCUUAAAAGUCCCUGUUCUGAUGUCAAGUUUAUAGGCUGUGCCCUCAAAAUGGUGGGAAGCAGUAAGCGUGGUCUGUAUGGAUUGAGGUCUCCUCCUAAUAGGACUCUACAGCCCUGCCUGUACACACGUUAAAGCCAACUGAAACUGUGGUUUUCUGUCACCAGAUAACAGGGUUGUUCUUUUCCUCCAAUGGUCGCUGUGUUCGUUAAAUAUUCCUGCAAGGCACAACAGCAGCAAUGAGAGCAAAUAAAGAGAAAUAAAACCCAAUUGAAAGGAGUCAUCCUAAUAACAGAGUAAAUAAUUGUACUUUUGCUUUAAAAUAAAACACAAAACAAAACCAACCAAGCCAACCAAACUGACAUCUUUAGUCAUGUCCUCCCUGCUUGGAGUUUUCCUUGUAAGCUUGUGUCUUCGCAACACCCAGUGAAUGCCACCAUCACCUCUUACGUGGCGCCGCCAUGGGAGGUCUCCCAGAGCGAGCCGAGGCGGGGAGCCUGGAAGAAACUAAAGCAGAACGAAGACUUUUGGUAAGAACAAAGGCAGCCCCGCUCCCAGUUCUUGCACAGAAAAUAAUGUUGGAAGGAAUAAUAAUGGAAAGAAAAAAAUAUCUUACUUCUCUGACAGGAAGAGAAUGUGGUUAUCUUUGAAGUGCACAUAUUCUAGGAGGCUUUUUUUGUUUGUCUGUCUGUCUGUGUGUGUUAGAGCGGCUCGUUGGAUCUGACUAUAUCGUUGUCGUACUCUGGUCUCUCCCUGCUGCUUGAAUGAUGAGCUUUAUCUGAGGAGUUGCCUGGACUUCCCGCGUGGAUGGAGAAUCCAUAGCGCAGGAGGGUCCGUGUCCUUGCCAGGGCUAGGGCAGUAAGCAAAGUGGAAAAACAUAUCAGGCGCACGCAGGUCCCUGUUGCUGGACCUUUUCCAGCCCCCUUUAGCUCUCCCCUGUAUUCCCACCCAACUAGAGAUUGAUUGUAACCCAGUCACGUACCCAGAAACAUCAGUUCGAGGCAGACUGACUGAAGGGGAGGAAAAAUAAGUAUUCUGUUGCUGCUUCUCUGGCAUAAACAAGAAUAUCGAUCCUAUUCUCUGGCCGAUAUUCGUAUUCUCUCCCCCUCUCCCAUCCCACUUUUGUCUUACUUCAUCCAAAGCCUCUCAGAUGGAAAAGCAAACCCUUUGAUACUGUCCUCAAGAGAAGCCAGCUGCCCUCGCGGCUACUUGCAGGGCUUUCCUUGGACUGUCCGAAUGUCACGUGUAUGAGAAAUACAGACCAGUGAUAGCCUGUAAGCAAGGCAGAUUUUCUCUAGAGAAAAAAAAAAAAAAGAAAACAAACACCUUCCAAGAGCUUCAGGUGGGGCCAGAUCCUUUUCUGAGAGGAGUAUUGAACCAGGAGCUUGCUCACCAGCCACUCAGCCACUUUUUCUUGCCUUCUUGGUGGCACGAGAUGACCUUAUCACAUCAGGGAUGUCUCUAAAUCACCAGCCCUCAAGGGCUGCUGCCACUGGAAAGAGUCACAGUUCCCCUUCGCCAGAACUGGGCAGAAGCCUCAGAAUGGGAUGUUCUGCUUCAGCCUUUACGGGUGACCUGCAUGAACCACCCUGGAGAUUGCCAGGAGGUUUUAUUAUCAGCUUUCCCAUAGAGAUGUCCCUAGGAAUAUUCCAUUCUCUUGCUUCUUCUCCUGGUUCGCUCGCAUUAAAAGGUAAAGUGCAAUAGAAGAGUACAGGAGAAAUGGUAGCAGAUUGCUUUAAGUUAAUGGACAUGCCUUAGAGGGGCACCUGCGUUAGGACGAGGAGGUCUGGAUCAGGUUGGAUGGCUUCAGAAACCAUGACCAAAACUCUCAACAAUGUUUCCUGCCUGCAUCGGAGCUGGAAAUGCAAGAGGUGCACCACCAGAGAGGACCCAUGGCCAUGUGUUAUUGACACCUCAAUUCUGCAGAUUCACAGAGUGAGGAGGAGCUUCACCAAGCGUGUGAAUCACUGGGUGCUUGUCUGAACUGAUUUUCCCAAUCUCCUGGAAGUCGCCCACCUGACCUGGGGAUGUCUUGUCCGUCUGAACUGUCUCCUCUCCCUAGCACUGUUCAGGGGACUCUGCUCUCAACUGUGUGUAUCAGUCGUAGAGAUACAUCCGUGGGCCUGGACCAGAAGCCUAUAUCCAAACACCCUAGCAGAGGAAGGGUUGAAUUUUACAGCUCAGGUCCAUCUCUGCUUAGAAGAAAUCCUCUGGACCGUACAGCAUAAUUUAAAGCAGUUCUCCCCACUGUGAUCGAUGUCUCAAUUUGUUUAACACCAAUUAAAGUCUCUGGUUCCUCACUGCUGAAAACGAAAGCCAGUCAUGGCCGUUUGCGAUUGGUGGCUUUAAGUAGCAAGUCUUAAGGAUGAUUUUUUUUUUAAAUUUUAUUUUAUUUUUAAUUAUUGUAAAUCAUUACCUCAUUUUCUGUCAAUGAGACUCCUCCAUCUUUGAGCAUUCUUAUCUUGCCAUAACUAUCAUCCUGUGCUAAUGGGAAAUGGGACGGUCCCUUUUCACAGAGACUAUAGGGGUGUUCAAUGUCUAGUUUCUUAAUAAACACUUUAUUUUCUAACGAAA